AAAAGAUCGUCUGCUACUGCUACCUGCUGAAGUGCUAACUAUUUCAAAAAUGUGCUUCCAAGAAUGUGCAAGGCGAGUAGGCCCUACUGCAGGCUGCAGAUUUUCGUGAACCACGUGAAUCCAACUGAAAUGAGCUAACAAUUGAAAUUCGGAACGUUCCAUUAAUUGCUUUGAUCACGUUGCUCGUGAUGUUGCAUACUGUUUGCAAUCCUGGAUUUAGUUCUGAAACGGAACUAGAAUCCAGAUUUGUUUAAUGGAUCGUGUCAUUACUACAACAGGACAUCAAUUUCUGAUUCUGGCCCUCUCUUAAAUCUGUAUCAUCCUUCAUUUGAUGUCCUCGUGUACGUUCAUGCGAGUGUGAAGGUAUUCACGAGGACACGAAAAUCGGUUUCCUGUUCACUUCGUCAAUUCAGUUCAGGUGCCAGUUGACUUCUGCCACAGUCUUGGAAAUUACCCAUCAUUGGAGGGACGAACAUCCUGCUUUCAAGGUCAAUCAUUUUUAUUACUGUCACUAUAGAAUGGGGUUUAAGAUGAUGGAGGAAAUAAAAAGUUAAUCAGCCCUCCGUGCCAUAUUAUAUUGUUCGAUGGUUUGAAAGGGUAUUUUCGGAGAAUCUGUUCAGCAGUUAGAUCAGUUAACUGUCUUUUCAAUACCGUUCUAUAUUCUAUUUUCAAUUUUGGCAAAUUACCUGCGCGUUUGUCUCCGAUGGCUUCGGUUUGUGUUCUUUUUUGAGUAGCAAAGUGAAUCGGAACUUUUGUGAACUCCCACAUUUUCUCUCUGUGCCAAAACGGAAAGUAAUUUUCAAGUUUCAUUUUCUAUUUUGUGUUUGCAAUCACGUAAUUGUAUCGCAACAUUGGAUUAGUAAUCAUUUCCGCCUUUGUUUAACCACCUCCUGAAAACUUUUUACCUUUUGUCUUGGAAAUUCUGCGUUGUUUUUGAUUGUUCGAUUCAAUUCAAAUGAAAUGAAUGAUUACCGUAGGCCUA